UACGUAGGUGGCGAGCGUUGUCCGGAUUUACUGGGCGUAAAGGGAGCGUAGGCGGACUUUUAAGUGAGAUGUGAAAUACCCGGGCUCAACUUGGGUGCUGCAUUUCAAACUGGAAGUCUAGAGUGCAGGAGAGGAGAAUGGAAUUCCUAGUGUAGCGGUGAAAUGCGUAGAGAUUAGGAAGAACACCAGUGGCGAAGGCGAUUCUCUGGACUGUAACUGACGCUGAGGAUCGAAAGCGUGGGGAGCAAACAGGAUUAGAUACCCU
rnacentral:rRNA from 1 species